rnacentral:rRNA from 1 species
GAUGAACGCUGGCGGCGUGCCUAAUACAUGCAAGUCGAGCGAACAGACGAGGAGCUUGCUCCUCUGACGUUAGCGGCGGACGGGUGAGUAACACGUGGAUAACCUACCUAUAAGACUGGGAUAACUUCGGGAAACCGGAGCUAAUACCGGAUAAUAUAUUGAACCGCAUGGUUCAAUAGUGAAAGACGGUUUUGCUGUCACUUAUAGAUGGAUCCGCGCCGCAUUAGCUAGUUGGUAAGGUAGCGGCUUACCAAGGCGACGAUGCGUAGCCGACCUGAGAGGGUGAACGGCCACACUGGAACUGAGACACGGUACAGACUCCUACGGGAGGCAGCAGUAGGGAAUCUUCCGCAAUGGGCGAAAGCCUGACGGAGCAACGCCGCGUGAGUGAUGAAGGUCUUCGGAUCGUAAAACUCUGUUAUUAGGGAAGAACAAAUGUGUAAGUAACUAUGCACGUCUUGACGGUACCUAAUCAGAAAGCCACGGCUAACUACGUG